rnacentral:ncRNA from 2 species
GGGUGUUCACGUUUCCCUUGUGGUGUGUGGGCAGGUGUUAACGCUGGUCGGGCCGCCAGCG